rnacentral:rRNA from 1 species
AUCGAACGCUGGCGGCAGGCCUAACACAUGCAAGUCGAACGAGUGGCGGACGGGUGAGUAAUGGCUGGGAAACUGCCUGAUGAAGUGGGAUAACUACUGGAAACGGUAGCUAAUACCGCAUACCAUCAGAUGUGCCCAGAUGGGUUUAGCGUGUUGGUGGGGUAACGGCUCACCAAGGCGACGAUCCCUAGCUGGUCUGAGAGGGUGACCAGCCACACUGGAACUGAGACACGGUCCAGACUCCUACGGGAGGCAGCAGUGGGGAAUAUUGCACAAUGGUCGCAAGCCUGAUGCAGCCAAGCCGCGUGUAUGAAGAAGGCCUUCGGGUUGUAAAGUACUUUCAGCGGGGAGGCGGUACCCGCAGAAGAAGCACCGGCUAACUACGUGCCAGCAGCCGCGGUAAUAC